AGGUUCUAAGUUCAAAUGGUAGAAUGUUCGAUUGAUAGUCGAAAGGUAAUUGGUUCAAUCCCAAUAGGACCUA
rnacentral:tRNA from 1 species